rnacentral:rRNA from 1 species
AAUUAUUAAAAUUGUUUUGUUUAUUAUUUUUUAUUAAUGAAUAAGUGAAGUAGAUUUUUUGUUAUUGUAUAAUAAAUAGAUUGAAUUAUAUUUACUAUAGUUAAUUAAGUACUGUAAAGGAAAUUAAAAUUUAUAAUUAUAAUUUAAUAAAGGUGAUUUAAUUAAUUGUAUCUUGUGUAUCAGAGUGAAUUAAAAUAUAUUAUGGAUGUUUUUAUUCUCGAAUUUAAAAGAUUUAGUUAAGUAAAUUGGUUAUUGUUUUAUAUAUAUUAAUAAUACUUAAUUGGUAAUGAAAUGUUAAUCGUUUUUAAUUAUAUCUGGUUUUUUAAUAAAUGAAUUUAAUUCAGGAAAUGUUAAUUAUUUAAUAUGUUAUUAUUUGAAUAUUUUAUGUUUUUUAUUUUUUAAGGGAUUAACUUUGAAAAAUAUAUUUAUAAUAGGAUUAGUUAUUGAGGAUUUUAUAAAUUUAGAAUUUGUUAUUGGUUUAAGGAUGUUAAAAUUUUAUUCUUAAUUUAUUUAAUUUUUAAUUUUUAUUUAAUUGUUAUAUUAAAAUAUUAUAUUUAAUUUAUGAAUUUUUGAAAAUAUGAUUUAAUUAGUAAAUAGAAAUUUAUAGUGUUAAUUUAUUUUGAGGAUUUAAUAUAAAGAAUUCGGCAUAUAUUAUUACUCACCUGUUUAUUAAAAACAUGGUUUCUUGUAUUAAUUAAGAGAUUUAACCUGCCCACUGAAGAAUAUAUUGAAGGGCCGCAGUAUUUUGACUGUGCAAAGGUAGCAUAAUCAUUAGUCUUUUAAUUGAGGGCUGGUAUGAAUGGUUGGAUGAGGUAAAUUCUGUUUUAUAUUAAUUGUAAUUGAAUUUAGAUUUUAAGUAAAAAUACUUAAAUGUGAUUAAGGGACGAGAAGACCCUAUAGAGUUUAAUAAAUUUAGUGAUAUAAUUGAGUUAGAAAUGAUUUUUUGGUUAUUAUGAGAUUUAUUUAGUUGGGGUGAUUAGAAAAUAAAUUAAACUUUUCUUUAAAUUUAAUAUUAUAUUUAACUAUAUGAUCCAUUAUUAGUGAUUAAAAGAUUUAAUUACCUUAGGGAUAACAGCAUAAUUUUUUUUGAGAGUUCAUAUUGAGAAGAAAGAUUAUGACCUCGAUGUUGGAUUAAGAUUAGUUUUGGGUGUAGAUGUUCAAUAACUGGGUCUGUUCGACCUUUAUAAUCUUACAUGAUCUGAGUUUAAACCGGCGUGAGCCAGGUUGGUUUCUAUCUUUUAUUUAUAUAUAUAUUUUAGUACGAGAGGACCAAAUAUGGAAAAUAAUUUUUAUUUUGGGAUACUAUUAAUUUAU